UCCCUGGUAGUAUAUCGGCUAGUACACCCGCCUGUCAUACGACGGUUCGCGGGAGAGCGGGGUUCGACUCCCCGCCAAGGAG
rnacentral:tRNA from 1 species